rnacentral:lncRNA from 10 species
UGUUUGCUCUUAGAAAUAAAAUCACAGAUAGGGCCUUGAUGUUCUUCUGUGAGUCUAAUCUUUCUUUGUAUUCCUUGGGAAUUUCAAAGAAAUGACUAUUGUCAGGGUAAUCUAACAAGGCUACAUUUGUGUUCUCUUCCUUCCAAACAUUUGUUAAUCCACCCUGCAACAACUCAGAGGCUUAAAGCUUUCUAUAGCACUCUUUCAAACUCAGUUUCAUCACUGGUACGUGUUGUUCUCCAAAUCAGGUGUGACCUCUGAGGGUUCACGCUCAUCUCUGCCCAUCAGUGUUCCAAUAGGGAAACAGCUAUUGCCUCAAAACCAAUUGGUCUCACAGCUAGGGCAAUCAUCAGUCUGUGGUAGAUAUGUUCUGCACUGGGAGUCUUAGCAGUCAGUCCUAGAUGAUGCCUCCAUGUGUAGCAGGUAUGAAUUUUAUUCCACAACAUGGAACAUAAGAAAGUUCAUAUUACUUUUAUCUCCUAAAAUAAAAUUUAAUCUUUUCUGAGGUCCUAUCCCACUGGGUUAGUAGCAAAUUUAAUUUUGGUCACUACCUUGCGUCCUUUCCUCACUCAAGAUUGGCAAAGUUCCCAGGGAUCUUCCAUAGUAUGUGAUUCAGGAAUGGCUCUCUGGUCCAUGGUUCAUCACUAAUAUGGUCAUUGUCCAAGCCCAUGAAAUCCCACAAAGGUGAGCAUCAACUCUGUCCUGGGCUCAUGGCUAAGGCUAAGUGGCCAGAGCCCCAGGUCCAGCCUCCUGGGUGCCCCACGUAGUAUUCUCUGCUGAGAUUCUGCCAUCCUCCUAUAUUUUCUUACCAUUAGGGGAAAGGCACCGGUGCCUACCACCCAAUAAACCUAAAAAUUUUCUCUCCCUUCUGGUCUUAGAGGAUGGUCUAAAAACCUCUUCCCCUUGUGGCAGCUUCAACAGCUAGAGCCUCUUGGAUACCGAACACUUUCCUCUACCUCCAUCUCUUCCCUUGCAGCUCAGCACAUUCCCCUCUGGAGCACAGACUUUGGCAAAACAAAAGCCAGGAGAACCAUUGUCUUCUGAGGGGCUGCUGUUUCCUGCUGCUGCUCCUGGGCAGAGACCAGAGAUGAAAAUGGGGUACAAAAAUGCUGACUGUAUAGCACCAAUUUAAAAAAAAAAAAACUCAAUUGCAAUUUCAGUUUAUCAUACUGCCACAAUUAAAUUAGUAUAAUUAUAGGAUAGAACAGCUCCUCAAAGAGAUCUCAUCACCUGUAACUCCCAAAGCACAUUUGGAAAGGCCCUCCCGCCACCUGUAACCUAAAUCAUCACAUAUUCCUCUCUGCCUACCAGCAUGCUGCCUUCAGUCUGCUUCUGGUUGGGAGUAAUUUUGUCUGGAACUCUCUCCCCCAGACCAUGAAUUCCUUAAGGGCAGGGACUGGGUUUUUCUGUAUCAGUCAGGUUCCAAGAGGAAACAUGGCACAUGGAAACUGGACAAUACAAAGAGGUUUGAUUUACAAAGGGACUUAUUACAAAGGCAUGGGAAAGAUGUAGGGAACUUCAAGGGAUCACGAGGGAAUCCAGAGCUAGCAAAGAUCCAAAGAGAUGAGAGAAGGUAAAGUUAAUGAAUCCUGGAAAAAAAAAGAGUGGGGUAGAGUCAAUACCAUGCCAAGAUGAACACAGGGAAGGUGCUAUGGAAUGCCAAUUUCCUGGCCUCAGUCUCCUCCCUCCAACUGGACUCUCCAUUGGCUAAACCCAACCAGAAACCAGAGGGCUUGGGUGCUGUCGACGUAAUCCUCUGAUCAUCUUUGGGGCAGAGAACAAUGUGGCCUUUGUGGGAUCUAAAUAAUGAGUAGUUCUUCACUACCUUUGGAUCAACUCUAGUGUGUGCCCUCUUUAGUCUUACAGUCUAGGGAUAGAGAAGGGAGACUAGCCCCAGUAGUUUCACUCCAAGUUCCCAGCUUAUUCCACCUUCUUUUGCUGUACUGAAUCCCUUGGGUGAUUCUGAACCCUACAAGUACUUAAUCUGAGAUACACAAGCCAUUGCUUGAUCAUAAGCUGUUUUGCAAUUCACAUAGGUUAUUGUGUUCCUUGAACAGGACUAUAUAUAAAUUCUGUAAAGGCAAGAUUUGUGUCUUGUAUCUUUCUCAUAUGUAUAACAGCUCUAAACAUAAUGGUUGUCUAAAGUAAGCACUUUACACUUGUCAAAUGAGUGAGUCAUCAAAGGGAUCUUUGAGUGUCCAGGAAGAUUUGAGCUCCAGGGGUGGGAGGGGGCAUGUUUUGAAUGACAGCCAUACCAUGUUACUAUAGAGACUUUUCAGGGGAAGAAUUACUUAGAAUCAGGCAUAGCUUCCCACCUUCCUCCUCUCCUCUCCCCAGCAACUAAAGCCCCAGAGGCACUCCCAGUCACGCUCUGAGAACAGAAAGCUGUUGCAGAAGCACAGAUUCUAUUCAUUCAUGCUUCUAUUCAUUCAGUUAUGUAUUCAUUCACUUAACAAAUAAUUAUUGAGGCUCUCCUGCAUUCCAGGCACUUAGGUAGGUAUUGGGUUUACAGUAGAUCAUUAUCCUGACUUCCUCACCCUUUAAGGGACAUAUAAAUAUACAAAUUAAUGUAAAAUUGAAAAGUAUGAUAAGUGCAGCAAUUUUUUUAAGUGUGAAAUAAAAGACUAGCUGAGACAUGGCCAAGGUGGUCAGUGUCCUGCCUACACCCCAGCUUGCCCUGGAGGUCACUGUUGAUAGCUGCCAUCCACGUAAUGACUUUCUGUUUGCAUCUCUGCUUUGGGGUUCUCUGGGGUGGAAGGGAGGCUAGAAGUUUUAGGGAGUUGGAGCCCCAGGAACGCCCUUCACCCAGUGAAGGAUGGGAGUCAGUGGAUCAUUACCCUGGCUUCCUCACCCUUUAAAGGACAAUUUUGAGACAUGUUGCAUAAAAGCUCUCUCAGAGGGCCACAGAGGAAGACAGCCCCAAGUGCCCAGAGCAGUUACCUGCUCUUUAACCUCACACAUGGCUGGCCUUGUUUCCUUCCCUGGAUCCCUUCCUCACUCCCCUACUGCUGCUUCCUGGAAUUGCCCCCCGACACACACAUACAAAAUUAAUUGCAUCCAUAUCAUCUCAUCCGUAUCAUCUCAGGGUCUCUUUUGAGGGGAGCAAAAACUAAGACAAUAGAAAACUAACUUACAUUCAGGUCAACACCCACUUUUACUUAGACUCUUCCAGACUCAGGGGUCUGUGACAUCAGUUAUACAUACUCUGAGAAAGACUCUAGUCAUUGGAAUUUUGGAAGAGAGGUGAGCCAAUGACUGGUGGUCCUUCAUCAUGGGGGGAUAUGGAGAAGGGAUUCUGUGUACUGGAAGGGGAGAGGAAAGGGAGGAAGGAGAAACAGGGAGUGACUGAGUGAAGGGACCAGCUGGCAGCCACAGGAAAGAGGUAAAUGAUUAUUCCAUUCUCUUCACAGAAAAACAGAACUUGGUUCCUUGUCAUGGCCUCACAGCAAUCCGGACCGUACAAGGCAGAGUGGGGGGCACUUUUAAAGCAAGUGAUACCAACUGUGAGUUUUCUUCAACAGACUCAAAGUGUGAAAAAAGGCCCUUUGUAGGCUACUGAUGUUCUUGCUUAGAAUGGGUGUUUAAUAACUCCUUCUCCUCCAAUGUUAAACUUCAGGGAACUAGUAUUCACUACUAAGGGAAUGACUUCUCUGAAAGCCAAGGCCACAUCUAGUUUCAUGUUUGAAUUCCUGUCACAGAGCACAGAGGAAAAGAAGGUGCUCAAAAGUGUGUUGAAUGCGCAAACGAACGAGUAUGGAAGAGGAGUUGGCAGGGGCCUCGCACGUUCCUUCCCCUCUCCUAGUGAUUCUUCCUUGUGUAGGAGGCUCUGUUAACAGGGCUCUCCCUUAGUAGGCCACUCCAGCCUCUCCCCACCGCUCCCUGACUGGACCCUGGGAAUUAUGGAGUGACCCAUCUGAGUACUGCUUUUGGAAGAAGAGCUUGAGUAGGGGCAGCCCAGCCCUUUCUUCUCCUCUCUCUCUUCAAAGUGAGCUGCCCACAGGGUGUAUGCAUUUUCUUGGUGCCAGCACCUGUGGAGAUGCAAUCAGCCUGGCUUCGCCUCCUUGGACUGCUGUUUCCUCUAAGGGUUGCAUGGCUGCUCUGCGGGCAUGUAUGCACCUGCCUGCAAAAUAUUUCUUUAAUCUGCAUUUGACUCUCCAAACUGAAUUAGACCUCUCAUCAGGAUUAGAGUAAGAACCUCUUAACUGGUCUCCUUCCCUCCAAGGGUGUCUUUCUCAAAUCCAUUCUCCAGAUAGCUGCUGCCAUGACCUUUCAAAACAUUCUCCUGCUCUACACGUUUCCAGGCUCCCCAUGACCAGAAGAAGGUAGAUGAAGGCUAGACAGGCAGCAACAAUAGUUGUCUACCACAGAAUCUCUUAGGUUUUCUAUAUUGUAUUUGUGCUCCUCUCGUUCUCUCGAUCAGCUUAUCAGCAUUUUAGGACAACGCUUGCUCUUUCUUUGUAGUUACCUACAGAUUCCUGCAAGCUGUUCUAAGCACGGUGGCCACCCACUGCAAGUAGUUGAGUAGCUGAUGGGCAAGUCAUCAUUGACAGCCCCAGCAGCACCUGGCCAGGUCUCUCAGCCCAUGUGCAAGGCAAGCAUCACCGAGCAGGUGUAGGCUCUGGCUGGGAAAU